UGGGGAAUAUUGCACAAUGGGCGCAAGCCUGAUGCAGCCAUGCCGCGUGUGUGAAGAAGGCCUUCGGGUUGUAAAGCACUUUCAGCGGGGAGGAAGGCGAUAAGGUUAAUAACCUUGUCGAUUGACGUUACCCGCAGAAGAAGCACCGGCUAACUCCGUGCCAGCAGCCGCGGUAAUACGGAGGGUGCAAGCGUUAAUCGGAAUUACUGGGCGUAAAGCGCACGCAGGCGGUCUGUCAAGUCGGAUGUGAAAUCCCCGGGCUCAACCUGGGAACUGCAUUCGAAACUGGCAGGCUAGAGUCUUGUAGAGGGGGGUAGAAUUCCAGGGGUAGCGGUGAAAUGCGUAGAGAUCUGGGGGAAGACCGGUGGCGAAGGCGGCCCCCUGGACAAAGACUUACGCUCAGGUGCGAAAGCGUGGGGAGCAAACAGG
rnacentral:rRNA from 1 species